rnacentral:misc_RNA from 1 species
AGCAGCCGCGGUAAUUCCAGCUCCAAUAGCGUAUAUUAAAGUUGUUGCAGUUAAAAAGCUCGUAGUUGAAUUUCGGGGUUCUACCGUCGGUCGGGCUACCAAGUCUGUACUGGUGUGUAGAAUCCCUACCUUCUGGGGAACUAUCAUGUUAUUAAUUUAGCGUGGUGGGAAACCAGGACCUUUACCUUGAAAAAAUUAGAGUGUUCAAAGCAGGCUUAUGUCUGAAUACAUUAGCAUGGAAUAAUAGAAUAGGACGGUGGUCCUGUUUUGUUGGUUUCUGAAUCACCGUAAUGAUUAAUAGGGAUAGUUGGGGGCAUUAGUAUUCAAUUGUCAGAGGUGAAAUUCUUGAAUUUAUUGAAGACUAACUUCUGCGAAAGCAUUUGCCAAGGAUGUUUUCAUUAAUCAAGAACGAAAGUUAGGGGAUCGAAGACGAUCAGAUACCGUCGUAGUCUUAACCAUAAACUAUGCCGACUAGGGAUCGGACGAUGUUAAAUUUAUUGACUCGUUCGGCGCCUUACGG